rnacentral:rRNA from 1 species
GACGUAGGUGGCGAACGUUAUCCGGAAUUAUUGGGCGUAAAGGCUGCGUAGAUGGUGUAGUAAGUUAUCGGUGGGAAAUCGAGGCUCAACCUCGUGGAAGUCGGUAAUACUGCUAUGCUAGAGGAUAGGAGAGGUUAACGGAACUCCCUGUGGAGCGGUGAAAUGCGUAGAUAUAGGGAAGAACACCAAUCAGGCGAAGGCAGUUAACUAUUCUAUUCCUGACAUUGAGGCAUGAAAGCGUGGGGAGCAAAACGG